UGGGGAAUAUUGGGCAAUGGGCGCAAGCCUGACCCAGCAACGCCGCGUGAAGGAAGAAGGUCUUCGGAUCGUAAACUUCUAUCCCCGGUGAAGAUAAUGACGGUAACCGGGAAGGAAGCCCCGGCUAACUACGUGCCAGCAGCCGCGGUAAUACGUAGGGGGCAAGCGUUGUCCGGAAUGAUUGGGCGUAAAGGGCGCGUAGGCGGCUCGGUAAGUCUGGAGUGAAAUUCCUGCUUUCAAGGUGGGAACUGCUUUGGAUACUGUCGGGCUUGAGUGCAGGAGAGGUAAGUGGAAUUCCCGGUGUAGCGGUGAAAUGCGUAGAGAUCGGGAGGAACACCAGUGGCGAAGGCGACUUACUGGACUGUAACUGACGCUGAGGCGCGAAAGUGUGGGGAGCAAACAGG
rnacentral:rRNA from 2 species